CUUUGUAGUUCAAAGGGGUUAUGUGUCUGCCAGAUUUCACACAACUCAUUAAAAAGGAACUUUAAAUACUGCAAACAAAUCCACCCUCAACUCAAACAUGGAAGGGAAUAUGGGAAAGCAUAGUGAUUCUACUUGCAUAUGAAUCUCUCCCUUUUGCACAGGAACCAUGUGCUUGCAUCCUGUGGGUGUCUGAACUGAUGGACUGACAGCACACUUACUGAACAGAAGAUAUUGUGAGAUACAAGGGCGAUAAGGAUCCAGCAGAAUGGGAUGACGGUGAAUCCUGCUGGUGUGCUGUGAAUGUGAAGCAGGAGGGACUGGCAGCUUGUGUGCAGGAGGGAAAGCGGAUCGGUCCAGAGCCCCUGGAUUAGCAGAAUAAG